GGGCGAGUGGCGGAAUUGGUAGACGCGCGGGACUCAAAAUCCCGUUCCGGUUUCGGAGUGAGAGUUCGAUUCUCUCCUCGCCCACCA
rnacentral:tRNA from 1 species